CAAGAAAGAGCCAUGCCAAGUGCUGGCGUGGUCCCGUUUUUACAGACAUUUGUUUGUAAUUUGGACAAUAAAUGUAAUGAUGAAGAUCAACUGAGAUCAGCCCAAGAAGUCUCAUAUAAGGUUUCGUCACUGGUGGGUAAAUUGGCGCCAUAUAUCGGUUCCGAUGACACAGUGUCAGCGUUAGAAUCCAUGGAUAAUGGAGUUAAAAUUCUUGAUACUCUGAAUAAAUUUCUGGUAAAUAAUUCCAUCAUAGAUGAACUUGAAAAGUCGUUGAAAGUUGGGAAUUUAUUUAAAGAUGAAGAUAGAGUUAAACAGAUACUGAUAACUGAGUAUGGUGUAGCAUCAGAGACGGUGGUUGAUGCUAUCCUCAACUCCACUCUUA